AACGAACGCUGGCGGCAGGCUUAACACAUGCAAGUCGAACGCCCCUUCGGGGGAGUGGCAGACGGGUGAGUAACGCGUGGGAAUUUACCCAGCUCUACGGAACAACUCAGGGAAACUUGAGCUAAUACCGUAUACGCCCUUUUGGGGAAAGAUUUAUCGGAGUUGGAUGAGCCCGCGUUUGAUUAGCUAGUUGGUGGGUAAAGGCCUACCAAGGCGACGAUCAAUAGCUGGUCUGAGAGGAUGAUCAGCCACACUGGGACUGAGACACGGCCCAGACUCCUACGGGAGGCAGCAGUGGGGAAUAUUGGACAAUGGGCGCAAGCCUGAUCCAGCCAUGCCGCGUGAGUGAUGAAGGCCCUAGGGUUGUAAAGCUCUUUCAACGGUGAAGAUAAUGACGGUAACCGUAGAAGAAGCCCCGGCUAACUUCGUG
rnacentral:rRNA from 1 species